AUUGAACGCUGGCGGCAGGCCUAACACAUGCAAGUCGAGCGAGCGGCGGACGGGUGAGAAAUGUCUGGGAAACUGCCUGAUGGAGGGGGAUAACUACUGGAAACGGUAGCUAAUAUCGCAUACCAUCAGAUGUGCCCAGAUGGGAUUAGCUAGAGGGGGGGGUAACGGCUCACACAGGCGACGCUCCCUAGCUGGUCUGAGAGGAUGACCAGCCACACUGGAACUGAGACACGGUCCAGACUCCUACGGGAGGCAGCAGUGGGGAAUAUUGCACAAUGGGCGCAAGCCUGAUGCAGCCAUGCCGCGUGUGUGAAGAAGGCCUUCGGGUUGUAAAGCACUUUCAGCGGGGAGGCGUUACCUGCAGAAGAAGCACCGGCUAACUCCGUGCCAGCAGCCGCGGUAAUAC
rnacentral:rRNA from 1 species